rnacentral:rRNA from 1 species
AUUGAACGCUGGCGGCAUGCCUUACACAUGCAAGUCGAACGGCAGCGGACCUUCGGGUGCCGGCGAGUGGCGAACGGGUGAGUAAUAUAUCGGAACGUACCUUUCAGUGGGGGAUAACGUAGCGAAAGUUACGCUAAUACCGCAUAUUCUGUGAGCAGGAAAGCAGGGGAUCGCAAGACCUUGCGCUGAUUGAGCGGCCGAUAUCAGGAUUAGCUAGUUGAUGAGGUAAAGGCUCACCAAGGCGACGAUCUGUAGCGGGUCUGAGAGGAUGAUCCGCCACACUGGAACUGAGACAAGGUCCAGACUCCUACGGGAGGCAGCAGUGGGGAAUUUUGGACAAUGGGCGCAAGCCUGAUCCAGCCAUGCCGCGUGAGUG